rnacentral:rRNA from 1 species
UUUGUUUUUACUUUGUUCAGUUUUGAGAGGUUUACUCUCAAAUACUUUUGUUCAUUGAAAACUGGAUAUUUGAAGUAAAUGUAAGUAAUACAAACCGAGAACACCGCGUUGAAUUUGAAAGCUGAACAAAUUGUUUAGCCUGAAGCAAAAUAGGCGGACGGCCAUAAAAUCUUUGAUUUUAUGAGACGAUCGAUCUUUUUGCCGUACAGGCUGAUUUGUGAGCUGGAUAGAGUUUUUUAAUAAGUUCAAUUGCUUAUUUUCUUGAUCUAACUUCUAUCGCUAGAAGAAGGAUCAAAACCCAACCGUAAGGUUGAUAAGGUUAAGUGAAUAAGGGCGCACGGUGGAUGCCUUGGCACUAGGAGNGCACAAGCGGUGGAGCAUGUGGUUUAAUUCGAAGCAACGCGAAGAACCUUACCAGGUCUUGACAUCCUUUGACCACUCUAGAGAUAGAGCUUCCCCUUCGGGGGCAAAGUGACAGGUGGUGCAUGGUUGUCGUCAGCUCGUGUCGUGAGAUGUUGGGUUAAGUCCCGCAACGAGCGCAACCCUUAUUGUUAGUUGCCAUCAUUCAGUUGGGCACUCUAGCAAGACUGCCGGUGACAAACCGGAGGAAGGUGGGGAUGACGUCAAAUCAUCAUGCCCCUUAUGACCUGGGCUACACACGUGCUACAAUGGGAAGUACAACGAGUUGCGAAGUCGCGAGGCUAAGCUAAUCUCUUAAAGCUUCUCUCAGUUCGGAUUGCAGGCUGCAACUCGCCUGCAUGAAGCCGGAAUCGCUAGUAAUCGCGGAUCAGCACGCCGCGGUGAAUACGUUCCCGGGCCUUGUACACACCGCCCGUCACACCACGAGAGUUUGUAACACCCGAAGUCGGUGAGGUAACCUUUUUGGAGCCAGCCGCCUAAGGUGGGAUAGAUGAUUGGGGUGAAGUCGUAACAAGGUAGCCGUAUCGGAAGGUGCGGCUG